rnacentral:rRNA from 1 species
GAUGUCGUACUUUUUGUAGAACGGGCCGGCGAGUUACGAUGCGUUGCGAGGUUAAGCGUUACAGACGCGGAGCCGAAGCGAAAGCGAGUCCGAAAUGGGCGGGAAGUAGCGUGUCGUAGACCCGAAACCUGAUGACCUAUCCAUGAGCAGGGUGAAGCAGUGGUAAAACACUGUGGAGGCCCGAACACACGCCUGUUGAAAUAGUCGGUGAUGACUUGUGGUUAGCGGAGAAAUUCCAAACGAAUUCGGAUAUAGCUGGUUCUCCUCGAAAUAGCUUUAGGGCUAGCCUCUAUAAGAUUACCGAAGGUAGAGCACUGAAUGGGCUAGGGGGCUUCACAGCUUACCGAACCUUAUCAAACUUCGAAUGACGGAUAAUUGAUAUAGUGGAGUCAGACUGCGACAGAUAAGUGCCGUAGUCAAAAGGGAAACAGCCCAGAUCCACAGCUAAGGUCCCGAAGUACAGGUUAAGUGGGAAAGGAUGUGUUAUUGCAGAGACAACCAGGAUGUUGGCUUAGAAGCAGCCACACAUUAAAAGAGUGCGUAAUAGCUCACUGGUCGAGUGAUGAUGCGCCGAAGAUUACCGGGGCUAAAACCUGACACCGAAGCGUGGGGAUGCAAGUAAUUGCAUCGGUAGAGGAGCAAUGUAUACGAGCAGAAGCUGCAGCGGAAGCAACAGUGGAUUGUAUACAAGAGAGAAUGCCGGCAUAAGUAGCGAGAGAGAGGCGAGAAACCUCUCCGUCGAAAGUCUAAGGAUUCCUGGGGAAGGUUCGUCCGCCCAGGGUAAGUCGGGACCUAAGUCGAGGCCGAAAGGCGUAGAUGAUGGACAACUGGUGGAGAAUCCAGUACCACCGAUAGCGAUAAUGAAGCAGUGACACAGGAAGAUAGUCAGACCGCGCGGAUGGAAAAGCGCGGCCAAGCGCAGGUAGUGGCAGACAGUGAAGUACGUCUGCUGGGAACUAUUGGCGUGACGGGGAGUGAAAAGAGUAACGAAGCUGAUGAAUCUACACUGGCGAGAAAAGCUGCUAAAUGGUUAAAGGUGCCCGUACCGCAAACCGACACAGGUAGACGAGAAGAAAAUUCUAAGACGAACGGGAGAACCCUUGUUAAGGAACUCGGCAAAAUGACCCCGUAACUUCGGGAGAAGGGGAGCCACAGAGAUGUGGCCGCAGUGAAGAGGCCCAAGCGACUGUUUACCAAAAACACAGGUAUCUGCGAAAGCGAAAGCUGACGUAUAGGUGCUGACGCCUGCCCAGUGCUGGAAGGUUAAGGGGAGAUGUUAGAGCAAUCGAAGCAUUGAACUUAAGCCCCAGUGAACGGCGGCCGUAACUAUAACGGUCCUAAGGUAGCGAAAUUCCUUGUCGGGUAAGUUCCGACCCGCACGAAUGGCGUAACGAUUUGGGCGCUGUCUCAACAGGGGGCCCGGCGAAAUUGAAGUAUGCGUGAAGAUGCGUAUUACCCGCGACUGGACGGAAAGACCCCGUAGAGCUUUACUGUAGCUUGAUAUUGAAUCUCGGUAACUGAUGCACAGGAUAGGUGGGAGACAGAGAAGCAGCGUUUUCGGGCGCUGCGGAGUCAACUUUGGGAUACCACUCUUCGGUUGCUGCGAUUCUAACCGAAAACCGUGAAACCGGGUUCGGGACAUUGUCAGGCGGGCAGUUUGACUGGGGCGGUCGCCUCCUAAAGAGUAACGG